AGUGAAUAGAUACCCGGGUAGUCCUAGCCGUAAACGAUACUCGCUAGGUGUCGGCCACGGUGCGACCGUUGUCGGUGCCGUAGGGAAAGCCGUGAAGCGAGCCACCUGGGAAGUACGGCCGCAAGGCUGAAACUUAAAGGAAUUGGCGGGGGAGCACCACAACGGGUGGAGCUUGCGGUUUAAUUGGAUUCAACGCCGGAAAUCUUACCGGGACCGACAGCAACAUGAAGGCCAGGCUGAAGACUUUGCCGGAUUAGCUGAGAGGUGGUGCAUGGCCGUCGUCAGUUCGUACUGUGAAAGCAUCCUGUUAAGUCAGGCAACGAGCGAGACCCACGCCCACAGUUGCCAGCGUACUCUCUGGAGUGACGGGUACACUGUGGGGACCGCCGCUGCUAAAGCGGAGGAAGGAAUGGGCAACGGUAGGUCAGUAUGCCCCGAAUAUCCCGGGCUACACGCGAGCUACAAUGGUUGGUACAAUGGGUAUCUACCCCGAAAGGGGAUGAAAUCUCCUAAAGCCAAUCUAGUUCGGAUUGAGGGCUGCAACUCGCCCUC
rnacentral:rRNA from 1 species